GGUUGUGAUGAUUGGUGAUGAUCUGCUCAAUGAUGUCGGUGGAGCUCAGCGCUGCGGGAUGAAGGGUCUUCAGGUCAGAACCGGCAAAUACAGGCCGAGCGUGAGAGCAGACGCUUACAUGCACGACCUCGCGGCCGCCGUACUGACCGAUCACUGACCGAUCAGGACACGACACUCGUGAUUGAUGACGCACUGACUGUGAAGCUGCACUGACACAUGAAGAAAACUGUGAACAUGUGCAAUGCAUUAUAAAGAAUAUCUCGUGAUGUUUGCUGGCGCUCCGGUGAAUCUGCUUCAUGCGGUUUGGUGUCGGAGCUUCGUUCAGGACAAUAGCGUGAUGCUGGCAGACAUGAAGCGCUGCAGAACAAACAGCAUCACGGAGAUCUGGAGCAGAGGUCGAGGCACACAGACGUCUUUGUGUUUCUUACAGCGGCGCUCGUUUCACAUCACGCUCCAGUCUCACUGUGCUCUUCCAGUCGAGGUGUAAUAAAGCUCUGAUGCUGAUGUAAAGCAGACGCUUCUAUUCUAACGCAGCAGAUUCUCCAGGCUCGUUUACGAUCAUAUCUGCUCAUCUAAACAUUAAGGCCACUUUUAACCCUCGCACAUAAAGCUACAGUGAAAUAAGCUGCUGUUAGACUCAUCCAUGUUGUUAUAUUUCAUUUGGCCUGAUGGGUUCACACACACACUCUCUCUCUCACACACACACACACACACACUCCCUCUCAC